GACGAACGCUGGCGGCGUGCCUAAUACAUGCAAGUCGAGCGCAGGAAACUGACGGAACUCUUCGGAGGGAAGGCAGUGGAAUGAGCGGCGGACGGGUGAGUAACACGUAAGGAACCUGCCUCAAGGAUUGGGAUAACUCCGAGAAAUCGGAGCUAAUACCGGAUAGUUCAUCGGACCGCAUGGUCCGUUGAUGAAAGGCGCUUCGGCGUCACCUUGAGAUGGCCUUGCGGUGCAUUAGCUAGUUGGUGGGGUAACGGCCCACCAAGGCGACGAUGCAUAGCCGACCUGAGAGGGUGAUCGGCCACACUGGGACUGAGACACGGCCCAGACUCCUACGGGAGGCAGCAGUAGGGAAUCUUCCACAAUGGACGAAAGUCUGAUGGAGCAACGCCGCGUGAGUGAUGAAGGUUUUCGGAUCGUAAAACUCUGUUGUAAGGGAAGAACACGUACGAGAGGGAAUGCUCGUACCUUGACGGUACCUUACGAGAAAGCCACGGCUAACUACGUGCCAGCCGCCGCCGUAA
rnacentral:rRNA from 1 species